CAGCCGCCGCGGGAAUACGAGGGGGGCAAGCGUUGUUCGGAAUUAUUGGGCGUAAAGGGUGCGUAGGCGGUUUGAUAAGUCUGAUGUGAAAUCUAUGGGCUCAACCCAUAGUCUGCAUUAGAAACUGUCGGGCUUGAGUAUGGGAGAGGUGAGUGGAAUUUCCGGUGUAGCGGUGAAAUGCGUAGAUAUCGGAAGGAACACCUGUGGCGAAAGCGGCUCACUGGACCAUAACUGACGCUGAUGCACGAAAGCUAGGGGAGCAAACAGGAUUAGAUACCCCCGUAGUCCCUGUCUCUUAUAC
rnacentral:rRNA from 1 species